rnacentral:rRNA from 1 species
GACGAACGCUGGCGGCGUGCCUAACACAUGCAAGUCGAACGGAAAGGCCCGGCUUUUGUGGGGUGCUCGAGUGGCGAACGGGUGAGCAACACGUGAGUAACCUGCCCUUGACCUUGGGAUAACUUCAGGAAACUGGGGCUAAUACCGGAUAGGAGCUCCUGCUGCAUGGUGGGGGUUGGAAAGUUUCGGCGGUUGGGGAUGGACUCGCGGCUUAUCAGCUUGUUGGUUGGGUAGUGGCUUACCAAGGCUUGGACGGGUAGCCGGCCUGAGAGGGUGACCGGCCACAUUGGGACUGAGAUACGGCCCAGACUCCUACGGGAGGCAGCAGUGGAGAAUGUUGCACAAUGGGCGGAAGCCUGAUGCAGCAACGCCGCGUGGGGGAUGACAGCCUUCGGGUUGGAAACCGCUUUCGCCUGUGACGAGGCGUGAGUGACGGUAAUGGGUAAAGAAGCACCGGCUAACUACGUG